rnacentral:misc_RNA from 1 species
UAAAAGCACGCAAUGAAUUUUUUCCCUCAAAUCAGUUUUAACUUUUGCACCAUCAGUUCUUGUUUUAACAUACAAAUUCACAAUGAAGUUUGUAGUACUUUGUGCCUUAGUACUUUACUGCUCUUCGGAAGUGUUAGGUAAUCCUGAUAAACCACAAUGUAAAGGUAUAGCAUGUGAUAUGCCAAUCUGCCCUCCUGGAUAUAUAUUGAAGUAUCCUGGACCUAAAGAUACUGCUUGUUGUCCCUAUUGCGAACUUCAAAGAUGUAACCGUAUAAUAUGCGGUAAAACAAAGUGCCCACCAGGAACAAAUGUAAGACUUUGGCCUGAAAAUUGUUGUCGUUCCUGCGAACCACGCCGGUAAUUACUAGAGUCUAACCCGCUUAUUUGAAUACCGGUUAUAGGAAUAUCCCGGUUUAAGGAAUAAAAAUUUGAGCUACCAAUAAUAACUAACUACUAACUACUACUACUAUAAGUUAUUAACUAAUAAUAAAUCAAGGAAAUAUUGUAAUUAUCAGAAGCUAUGACUAACGCAAAUGAAAAAUGACCAAUAAACUAAUGAAUUGUGGCAAAUCUCGA